CUGGAGGAAAUGUUAUAUUUUUGACUUGACCAUUACUUCUUGCCAUCGGUUGUGACUAGAAACAGGGCUGCUUGCUUCAGCAAUGUUGCUGUACUUGACCAGACCGCCUGAUGUAGUAAAUUGAAGUGUGCAAAUCUAAUGAGCUGAGACCCUGCUUCACCCCAAGACAUGCUGUUAAUGUUCAUCUCUGCUGAGACCUCAUAUGGAAUGUGAGGCUGGG
rnacentral:lncRNA from 1 species